CAAUUGAUGCAGUCCAAUUCAGUGACAGACUUUUGGGAAGGCUGAAUAAAUCUAAGGAAUGGUAUUCUGUAAAAUCUGAAACUAAUAGCAAAGAUCAGUGCAGCAAAAUUCUUUGAAACAAUUUGGAUUUUGAAAAACUUAAGAAAAACAUUUCUAAUCCUAUUAUUUCCUACCUUUGAGAAUUUACCAGAAACUUGACUUUCUAAGUACUGAUCUCAAAAGGCAUAGACUCUAAUGAAGAAAAUGCUUUCAAUCAUCAUUAGGAAAAUUUUAGUACAGAGGAAAUUUUUUAUGCUUUGGUUUCUUUCUGGCAAGGUGCAAUAACCUUAAGAGCAAUUAUAGAUGCAAAAAACCCAGACUAAAGUAAUGUGAAUAAAUCAGAUUCACAUGUAAUAACUUUUUUUUUUUGAAAUUAAAAGAGAAAUAAAGGGAAUGCUUAUAAGAGUGCAGGUACUUCUACAUUGAGGAAUUUGCCAAAGACAGGAUCUUUAUUCCCCUGAAAUAAGGAAGCAUUCUGGAAAUCAGUAAUAAUGGAUUGUUCCUGUCUCAACUUCAAAACAAGCCUUUGGCAAUUCCUGGCUUAGUGUAGACAAGGAGUUCAUGUAAAUGAAAUCAGUUUUAUAUAUGUUAUAGAUGCAUAUAUCUAUAGAAUUAUAUCAUAGGCACGCCUAGAUGAUUUUAUCAGUCUAAAACUAGAGUUUGCAACUUGCUUUCUAAUACAUUUGAACUGCUUCUUGUGAAGUCACAAAAAUAAGUUGGGAUGACAGCACUUCAGGAACACUCACCAUAUAAGCAUAAUAUAUAUAUAUUUUCUACUCAUAUGUGUUUUUGUAUAUAUAUAAAAUACACCAGGACCUCAGUACAAAAUACUUUGAUGCAAAUUUUUUUGGGUACAUUAGAUUUAGAACAGAGAGGAAUCUUCCUUACCUCUUCUGCGUGCAAAGCACCAAGCUUGUUUCCUGACCAGAGCUUGUUUUUGAGGCUCGGGCCGCCCGAGCCGCCGCCGCCCCCCGCCCUGCGCUCACAGACACCGCCCCGCGCGCCGCUCGCGGUGCUGCUGACCCCACAGCCCCUGUGCACGGCACCGGAACCGCCGCGGAAAAUCCCGUCGGGGGGCGCCGGCGUUGGGGACAAUUCAGGCAGUGUAGAAAAAACAGACACGGGUCCUCGAAUGCCGACGUCCUCUUUUUCGCGCCAUCUCGAGAAGGUCAAGCGAGUCCGCGACAAGCCACUCCCAAGAUGGCGGCCGCGGGCGGCGGGCUGCAGUACCGCCCUCUGCCCACAGGGCGGCAGCACUGCCGCCCGCCACCGCCGGGGGCCGCCGCUCGCCUCGGGGCCGCGGGCGGGGCCGGCGGCAGAAAAGAACGGGCGCGAUGCCCUCCGGAACCUGCCCUGCAGCAAAUGCCCCAAAACAUCCCGCGCGGAAAAGAACGCCAGCAAAAAAACCCCUGCCUCUAACCCAACAGGAACCAAAAGCAAAAACCUUCUCUUUUAAACUGCAUUUCAAGCUCUUUUAUUUUUAUAUUUUUCAUAUUUAUAUUCACAUUCGGAUUUAUAACGUAUAUUGAUGUGUAAUUGUAUUUUUAUAAUUUCUUACAUUUAUUCCUUUAUUACAAUUUAUAUUUUUAUGCAUUGCUUAAUACAUUGCUUACAUAUUUCUAUAGAUAGAUUUCUAUUUCUAAAAGGUUUAUAUUGCUUAAAAUAAACCCCUGCCUCUAUCCAAGUAAAAAUCUUUUAAAAACCCCUUUUCUUUUAAACUGCGUUUAAAUUUAUCUCUAUAUUUCGCAUUUAUAUUCAAAUUUACGUUUAAAAUGUAGAUUGAUGUAUGGUGUUAUAUGAAAGUAUAAAAUAGAAAUGAAAAUAAAUAUUCAGAAGAGAUAGAAUAGAAAAAUCUCUGCAUACAUUGAAUAUAUAUUUCUAUAUUUAGAAUGAUAUCAAAAUAAAAGGUAUAUUCAUUUUUCUUCCAUUAAAACCCUGCCUCUAACCAAAUAAAAAGCAAAAAAAAGCCCCUUCUUUAAACGAUACUUGAAUAUUUAUAUAUUGUUUUCAUCAUUAUAGUCACAUUUGCAUUUCUACUUUAUAGUGACGUAUUUAGAAAUAUAUAUCAUAUAUAUAUAUAUAUAUAUAUAUAUAAAGGUAGCAAGAUAGACAAAUUAUUAUUUAUAUUAUAUUUCACACAUACUGCUAAUACUUAUUUUUACUUACCUUUGAAUUUUUUAUAUAGAUCCCCAGCAACAAUAUUUAGAGCAUCUGCAAAUAAAAGACUGGGAAACAGUUAUUUUACUCCAUCAGAACUUGGGAAAGGCCAGAUUUAGAUCUCUCCAAAGGGUCAAAGCUACAUAACACCAGUUAAUACCAUUUACUGUAGAAGCUGAACUGAUUUUGGUCUACACAUAAGUUUCCUGUUUCUGCCAAACUUCUGCAUGAAUAUUAAAAGUCUGAAGAAUGACCACAAGCAGAUCACCUAAACCUACAAGCUCACUGUUUCCCAUUUUUAACCAUGCCAGGAUCUUCUCUUUUGAUCACGUGAGUGGACAUUUCCCUCUAAAACCUUCUGACCUAACCAAGAAGUCUCACCAUUACCACUGUUUCACACCAAAAGCAAAGCACCUCUGUCUGUAUCAUGCCUGCUGAUGGUGCCAGCACACAGUAUGGCCCAAGGUGUCUGCCCCAUGGAUUUCCCCGGGGUAUUCACACUUUUCCAAAGGUAGCCAGCACCUACGCUGACUCUGAAAACAAUUGCCCUUGCAAGAAGGGUCCAUGGCAGCUCGGGGCACUCGUGGUCAGCCACAGGGCCUUGACACACAGAACAGGAUAAAGGGACUUGGAGGAUUCCCACAGCUGGCCUGCACUGACAGAUAGAGCAAGUCCCUUGGGAUUGUGGAGUGAAUUCUGCCUCCCAAGGACUGCAGGCUCACAUCCACACCCAGGACUAUUCAGAAGAGCUGCAGCAAGAGCAGACAUCGGGCAGCUCAGGGUUUCUCUAAGCCCAGUCCUACAAGCCUGUGGGAGCCACAGGUAGCCAGGAAGUUCCUGAGAAAUCCAGACCCUCAGCCAGCAGCACAAAGUCCCAGAGCUGCCAAAUCAGAGAGAACUGCCUUCCACCUCUUUUCGCUCACACACUGGUGCUGAAAACUGCCAGACAGGCUAAAAGUCACUCAGGGAGAUAUAGAGGGUGUUACUGAUAAAGAGUUCUAGGGAAGCUGGAUGGCCAGCAUCCAUCAAACUAUCUUCUGGAAAUCCCAGCUGUCACAUUUCACUCCACUUUUCCCUUUAACUCAGGCUUUCCCCUUCCAGAAUCAAUUCUUCCUC